UACGGGGGAUGCAAGCGUUAUCCGGAUUUAUUGGGUUUAAAGGGUGCGUAGGCUGUGAGGUAAGUCAGCGGUGAAAUGCCCCCGCUCAACGGGGUGAAGUGCCAUUGAUACUGUCUUGCUGGAAUGCGGAUGCCGUGGGAGGAAUGUGUGGUGUAGCGGUGAAAUGCAUAGAUAUCACACAGAACACCGAUUGCGAAGGCAUCUCACGAAUCCGCUAUUGACGCUGAUGCACGAAAGCGUGGGUAUCAAACAGG
rnacentral:rRNA from 1 species